rnacentral:lncRNA from 1 species
GGCUUAACCAGGAUUUCUCCUGAAGUGGAGUCUGAAGGUGGUUGGGCUGGGCGGUCCCACUUUUGCUCCCCGUUUUUGUGCUUCGGGGGAGGGGGUGCUAGGAAGGCUCAUUUGGCCCGAGCAUGGAAGGCAGUGAUGCUGGGCGUCCCUCCGGAGCUGGCUGGUAUUGUGGAAUUGGCCUUUGGACCCCACUCGCGAUGCGCAGACCAGACGGAAGCUGAAACGGGGGAAAUGCUCGGGGAAGCGGAGUCGCAGUGAACCUGGGCUGGCAGGGAAUCCCGCUGUGCAGAUGGAAUACCCUCUUCGGACGAACGGGGAAGCUGCUUCAGAGAAUCUGGCUUGCGCUCGGUGGAACCGUGGGGUUUUAGGGCUGUGCCAACGCCCCUUUGCUGACUCCGCCCGCACCGCCCAGCAACCUCAAGGCCCACAGGCAGCCCCCCGCCUUGCCGCCGGCGUCACCGUGUCAUGGAAACCGAAGCCGCGGAGACCCGCAGUGCGACUCGUUGGCGUUCUGCCCUGACCCCUGGGUGCCGGGACCCUAACGCCUUCUCCACACCUUCUUGCACAUACACAUGUGGGCUCCCCGCUGCGGUCCGGAGGAGCGUAGGGGACUAGUCAGCUCCGGCGCGCCGCCGGCCUCCGCCGGUCGCUCCCAGACCCCGACGCGGGGCAGGGCAGAGGAUGGAGAAGGCGGUUCUGCGAUCUAGGGGGCGGGCUCCGCGGGCUCGGACUCGGCUUCGCGCUCCUCCUGCGGACCCGGCAUUUCCCGGCGGAAGACGACCGGUACUCGGUUCCAGAAUGACGCUCGGCCCAUGGACAGAGCCUGCCCAGUCACUCUCGGCUGCUAUUGAUCCCGAGGAUGAUGGCCGCCCCUAGCCAUUUCCCUCCUCUCUCUUCGGUUCCAGAACAGCCCAAGGAGCAGAAAAGAGUGACAAGGCCGUGAAAGGAGGCGCCUGGGGCGUAGCCGGCUCUAGGAGGUUACCCCAUGCGGAGUACACACCCUGCUACACCCAUCCCGGAGGAGGGAGGAAAUAGCCAGCCCGGAGCACCCCUGGACUCUGCCGGUCCCAGAGGCCACGCAAACUCCGCCCAGACUCGGUGAGGCCGCGGUAAUGCCACGCAGGGAACUGCGUGGAUAAGGUCGCUCGGAUCUGAGCGCCAAGGUCUCCCGCCUCUCCUUCCCGUCUAGUUCUCUCCGGACUCAAAUUGCCUUAAUCUCACCCAUCACUCUGUCAUGGAAAUGAUCUACUCGUGUGCAGUACUUUACAGCUUGUAUCACGGUCUCCCCUGAACCGUAUAGCAAGAGGGUGGUGGGGGGUGGAAGAGAAGGGUACCAUCUCCACUUUCCCGGCCAGGAGGCCCAAGUUAGGAGGCUUGUCCGAGAUCCCUAGGUCAGCGCACUAUUUAAGGUGAGAAGUUGGGUGGAGAGCUUGGCACCUUGCUCCAGUGUGCACUUUGCGCCUGGCCAUGUUUUAUAAGCAAGGGGGGCUUGGGCUGUUUAAGGGGGAGCAGGGACCGCAGGGCCAGGAAAGGGCAGCAUCCGGCAGGCCGGGGCGUCACGGUGUGUGCCUGGCCUGGGUAAACAACUCCGGCUUCCCACGAGCGCUGGAGGGACCCUGGGCAUGGGGCAGGGGCGUGGGGGAGGGGGGGCAGGGGCGUGGGGUGGGGCAGGGAGCGGGUGGAACAGCGAGGUCAAGCGUGGAGAUUCCAGUUGCGAGUCAGCUCCGCGCCGCGGAGCAAAGACAGGACGUGGAUAAUCUUGGGAGCGAGACGCUGAGCUGAAGAACAGAAAAGAGAGAUAGAGGCAGAAGUGAGGAGAGAGGGACAGGAAAAGAAAAUAAAGGCAGAAAACCAGAGAAAAGAUGAGACGGAGUGCGGAAAAGCAGGCGGGGAUAAAGAAAGGAAAGAUCUGUCGGGGAAAUGCGGGGAGAAGUGGAGGAAAAGAAACAGAAAAUAGACCCAGAGAGAGACCCUGCCACGAAGAAGGCCGCGGGGACGGGCGCGGAGCCGAGGGCCCUGCAGGCACGGAGGGGGCGUCCCGCGGGUCUGGGGGUGUGCGGCUUUGGGACAGGCGAGUGCGUGCUGAGAGAAGGAGGCAGCGUGUUUUGUGGGAGACUCUGCGCCCGUGGAAAAGCGGCUCUGGGCAGGAAUCCAACAAAUAAAUAAAACGUCUAAGACGGCGUGACAACAAUGUGUAUUUGGGUGCGUGCCCGUGUUCCUCUGUCUGAACACAGUCACACCCAGUAAGGAAGACAAACGGGGCUCGUGCCUCACAGUAAUUAAUCCUCUCACUAAUUGACUCUCUCCCCUUACCUAAUGGCGGUGGUCACUGCCGAUAUCUGGAGAGACAUCAAGUAGGGGGAGACAGAGAGAGAGAACCCCAAAGCUAACGACCUUUGGGACUGAGAUUGAGUUUUUUCUGGACUUGGCAGCUCUAAGCCCCUGCCCCCACCUCCACUUUUGGGCAGAGUUCCAUAGAUAUUGCUGCCUUCCUUCCCCCUCCAGGUUUUGGGCAGCAUUAAUAAAGAUCUCCUCAGAUUAGGGUGAUGUGGUUACACACACUGAAGCCCUUCUACCGCCCUCCACCUUGGGAGAUCAGUUUCAGAGGCUGAAAGCCACCCCUGUCCCUGGGACAUUUCUUACCUCCCUGCAAUACCAGCUCCCCCUCCCAUGUUGUUCCCCCAGGGGCCCAGACCCUGCACCCUCUUCUUUCAGGCAGUACUAACUCUUCCAAGGACCUGGGCGGUGUCCCGCAGUCCCCUAAGGCAGGUGAGGUUUUGAACGGGCUGAGAAGCAGUCUGGGGUUGAUGGAAGGAGAGCGGUGGGAGGUCAGGGCAAGGAUGGGGAGAGGCUUCCAGAGACAACCUUCCUCAGACUUGGGUUGAGAGACACAGAGGCGCAGAGAGGCGCAGUUGCCACCAGGCAAGAGAGAGGCCUCUAGGGACAAAGGAGGGAAAGGUGGGCUCUAUGCACUGUGGGAAGGAGCGCCAAGUGUGUGAGAGGCAGGAAGGUGGUCAUGUCUCUGUGACUGUGAGGGUGACAGUUCUGGUCUGUCUGUGUGAGCAUGGGGAAGCCCCCUAUGUUCCCUCACAGCACCCUCAGUUCUCAGACUGGGGAGAAGAGGCAGGGGACUGGUCUGGGACUUGAUGGUCCCCUUGGUAGCUGAGUUGGCUGGAAGGGGUCCAACACCCACAGUCUGUCUGGUAAUGCAGCUUUGAGGCUUAGGUUUGGGAGGUGAAUGUCAACUCUCACCCCUGUGAGGUGGCAGCUUUGCUCUGUUGGCCUCCUCAGAGGCUAAAUAAAGAAAUGCUGAGAUCUAUAAACCACCCAGCCCAGAGAGAAAAAGGAGGGAGGAAGGGCAGCUCCCUAGAAAAAAAUCCACCCCCUCCCCACCACUAAACACAUUUUUAAUUGUCCCUUGGGAACAUUUGUACAUUUGACCAAAGCAAAUCUCAAAGCAGCAGCAGCAAAAUGAGUCAGAGGGGCUGGUGGUCCAGAGAGAGCUGGGGAUUGGAGAUGGGGAGGUGAGGAGAGGUGGCAGGCAUGUUUGGGAAGGUGAGAAACUUGGCUCCUUUCCCACCAUCUCUGUCAAGCUUUAGAAAGAAAGUGAGCAGGAGAAAUAAAGUUCCAGGGGAAAGAAAGAGAAGGGCAUAUAAAAGGCAAAUCCAACCCAGAAAGGAAAGAAAGUGAAGAAGAAAGAAAAAGGCAGGGAGUGGGGAGAGACUAUAAUAAAAGAGGGUGAAGGCGGCCCCAGGAGGCUGGGCCUCGUCCCAAACCAUCCGUCUUCAUUGUCUCCGUGUGUGCAAAGGCAACUCUGGCAUAAGGAAAACCCACUAUUGGAGCCGAGGCUUUAUUUUAUAUCCUAUACAUCAGGAGGGAGGCAAAGCUUUAUUUUCGCCAAGAGACAGAUAUUUUAUUUCUCUCUUACGGUUUUAUGUGUGAGAGAUGUCAGGUUGCCACAAUGGAUGGCUAAUGCAUAGGCAAGAGGAAGCCGUGUUGGCAUGCUGUGUGUCAUGGGGUCUUGGGGGGGUGAGCGGGCCUGGGAUUUAGGGCUGAUGAGACACUCUGGGGGAUUUGUGCUAAAACAUCUCUCUUCAUAAAUCCAGAAGCAUGGUCAGCUCAACAGGGAGAAGAAGGAGUUUUAGAGGGAAAAGAGUUGGGCUUAGUAAUAAAUGAAUACACAAAGGAACCGCUUACCUUCCAACAGGCUCGGGCAACAGGGGCACGACAGCCCCAUGGAAAUGCAGACACCCAUGUCCACGCACACAAGCGCCAUUCACAGGGAAGUAUUUUCCUGACACGAAAUCCAAUGUCAGUUUCCUUUCCUUUCCCCGUUUUAUAUUUUUCCACCCCCCUUCACCAGAAAUCUUUUUUAACCUCCUCAGAGCCUUGGGGGAAAAGAGCCAUUAAUUUGCAAAUCAUCUGAUCUGUGAAAGGAUCAAGAUGCCUGGUUUUCACUGCUAAAUCCAACGUCUUGAGUGGACACAGAGGCACACACAAGCCCGUCAUGCUGCCAACCCUUGGGAGCAUAGGUGCCAGAUCUGAAGCCAAGAAAAGACUCCCUCUCCUCCCGGGACCUGCAGCUGAAUUAAGCCUUAGAUUCCAAACUGCAUAAUGUUCAUAUUUUUAAACCUGGAGAGAAGUGGAGAGAUGAAGGGGGACAAAAAGAGGGGGAACUUUGUUAAUUAACGUGUUCCAUUCAGGACUUAGACUAAUUGUCUUCCCCACUUCCAGCCGCCCCCCAACCCAAGCCAUUUCUUACAGGAGUUGCUUUUAUUCAUUCUCAUGUUCUACUUUUCUCAUUUUUGGAUUAAUAUCUACUUGUUUAAUAUCUACUGUGGCGCAAAAACGUGACCACGCUCUUUCUUUUCAGAGGGUUGGAAGCAGCACAGGAUUCCUAGACAAGGAGCUUGGAGACUUGGCUACACUGUCCCUGGCCAUUGGGGAAGACGUUUACCCUUUCCGGGCCUCAGUUUUCUCAUCUGUAACAUGAGGUGAUUCGGCUAAAUGAUUACUGAGGUCCCUUCCAGCUCCGACCUCCUCUGGCCGAAUGAGAUAAUGUGUGAAAACACUUUGUGAACACUAACACCAGACAGAUGCCAGGGAUCAUUAUUGCAAUUCUAAUCAAUCCUCUUUUCUCCACAUGGAUCUUGGCUGUUUAGUGCCAGCAAGCAGGCUAAAGGGGGCUGAAAGCAAGAAAGCUUAGCGGACAUGGAAAAGCUCUGUGCAGUGGGAGGAAAAAAAAAAAAAACCCUGCAUCUCCAGAAACAUUGUGUCUCUGUGUGCCCCCUGAGGCCUAGUGGGAAGGGUUGGGGAAGAGGAGGCCUGACUUGGUAUGACCCAUUUUGGUCUACAUGGCGGCAGAGAGUGUAUUUCUUCAAAAGCAUUGUUGGUCUCCAAGUGACUGACAUGGGAACCUGAUGGGAAGGCGAUUUGCAAUUGUUUUUUUCCAGGAAGAAAGAAAGAGCAAGGUGUAGCUGAUUAGCAAGUUAAUUAUUUCAGUACCCCAAGGGUUCCAGUGUGGUGGUAAGUUGUCCAGCCCUGGUGUAAUUUCACAGUCUGUGCAUUUCCUGGCGAGCACCUGGGGUGCCCGAGUCUGUCUCUUUCUCCUUCCACCUGCCUUGUGUCUUCCUGACACACCUGGGGAGAUGAGCAGGGGCUGGGGAGGUUGAUGGUACAAGGUACACAUUCGGCUUAGGCUGCGGGUGGGGGCCACGCCAAGAACAGGGUGGAGGAAGCCCAACUGAUGCCAUCUACCUCCGCUGAGUGUUUAAUUAUCUGGCCCUUUCUUCUUUAAAAAAAAAUCUUUUGUUUAAUAAAUAUUAAUGAGGCGGGUUAUCGGAAAGUGUAGUUGCCAUGAGGUUAUUUCCCCAGCCUUAGCAUGGAAAGAAACUGGGUUUGAGGAGCCUUUCGGCCCCUCACCGCCUUCUACCCCCACCAGCUCUCCCGUGCUCACGUUCCGCAGCAGCUCUUCCGGUCUCACUUCAAGAUUUGAUUUCCCCUUGGGGGAGGGUAGGGGAGGGAAGAUCAUGUGGUCAAAUGGACACUUCCCCUCGGAGAGAUAAGUUGGAGAUGUGAACAUUAGCCUCAAGAAUUAACAGCUUCUGCCGCUCUCUGCUCUCGGGGCUGAGAGGGCCAGCCCCCCGCUGCUCCUUCCGCGAUGGAUGAAGGGAGGGCUCUACAGUUUACUUAAGAGUGGUCCCAUCUGCUCAGACUGGCCUUUCAUAAGGGGAGGGAUUUAUGCAGUGUCCUUGUGCACAGACCUGGGAUUUGGCUGAAAACCUUGGGCCUCUGAGAAUAUUACUGAACGCUAAAACGUUCAGCCAUGGAGAUGAUUCAUGAUUUUGUCUGCAUGGACAGUGUGUGUGUGUGUGUGUGUGUGUGUGUGUGUGUGUGUGUUUGUUUGGGGUUGCACGCACAGUGAUGAUGGGUGCUAUUCACCGUUCUCACUUUGAAUCCAAAUGUUAGGAAACUUUUUUUCCUUCUGUAUUCACUCAGGAGACAGGCCCUGGCACCAGGCUCUGGAGACCCCACUUCCUGACUCCAGCGGUGCGAAGAUGAUACAAUACUUUCUGGUGCUGACAUUCAGCUGUCCCCCAAACAGGUUGGCUGAUAGCCCUGCCCGUCCUUGAAGAGGGGCCGAGGGCUGUCUAAAAAGACAGUUCUGAUGACUGCUUCGUUGCUAGUGGCAGAGGAUUUGGGGCACAGGGGUGGAGUUAAGUCCAAUUGCUGUUUAAAUUGGACUUGGCCUCCUUUAUUUUACAGUCCUAAGGGGUCUCCAUAGGAGAAAAAGUAGCGAGAGCAACUUAGAACACAGGAAAGCAAGCAUAGGGAAGAGUUUCUUGUCUCAAUCUUGGUACUGCCGUGCCAAAAUGAAGCCCAGGGAUGGUUAAAAACGGAUCCUAGGGACCGGGCACCUUGGCUCAGGCCUGUAAUCCCAGCACUUUGGGAGAUCAAGAUGGGAGGAUUGCUUGAGGCUAGGAGUUCGAGACCAGCCUGGCCAACAUAGUGAGACCUCAUCUCCAAAAAUAAAAACUUAAAAAAAAAUUUAAAAAACAAAAACAAAAAUACAGAUCCUAGGGAACAGAGCUUUGAGGUUCCCUGUGGGAUCUUGGCCUGACUCUUGGGAGAUGAAGAAGUCCUUGGCAAGUUUGAAAAGAUCUACAAGUGCCAUCUAUUCAGGGGACUAAAUGUGAUUUCUUUUCACCGCCCAGUGGCUGGUAAGGAAGGAAGCAUUUUGCAUUUUCAGCUUGUAGGAUGGUUAUUGGUGGUCCUACCAUCUUGCUCAUGUUCAAGUUUGGUCGUGUAGAUGAAGACCCCAGCUUCCCAGCUCUUAGUUUUUCUUUUCCCUCAGGCCAUUCAUAAUUUAGCUAACAUUCUAGUCCAUUGACCAGCAUGCAUUUUGAAAGGUGAGCUGGCAAGCCUGUAACUGUGUGCAAGGUUGUUCUCAUUUAGGCUCCAGGAAGGAUAUAGUUUCCCCAUAAGAAAGAAAAGUGGGCGAGAGGCUGAGGUGGGAGGUCGCUUGAGUCCGGGAGGCAAAGAUUGCAGUGAGCUGAGAACCAUGCCACUCACUGCCUUCCAGCUUGGGUGACAGAGUGAGACCCCAUCUCGAAAAAAAAGAAAAAAAAGAAAAAGAAAGAAAGAAAAAAAUAAAUAAAACAAGGAACUAUUUAUAUUAAUCUUUUAAUGAAGGAUUUACCAAUCUGAUAAGUACAAAGCUCCUUUUCCUCCUUCUGAAUGAGUAACUAUGUCAGUCAAUGUUGAGGGUCUGCAGAACCUAUACAAAAAUGCUUUCUUUGGUCUCUCAGUUUUAACACAUGCUGGGGCUUGGGCCUGCCUCUGACAGACUGGGGAGGAGUAGACACAUUCCAGAGACCAGGUCUUGGAGUGUUAUCUCUUCCCCCACCUCAAAUCCUCACCCUCCACUUUAUCUGUCUUUAGCACGAAUGCAGAGACCUCCUAGGGAAGUGUGAAGGGAUGGGUUUUCGUCAGGUUUGGGGAAGGAAGGGGAAUAAGAUGAGCCCCAAAGAAAGAUGGGGGUCAUUUGGAAUUUUUAGAUGACACUCUUUUGUUAUACUUUUCUUGUGUUGUGUAUUAUGUCCUACAAAUCGUGCAUUUGUUACAGUAAGCCACAGUGUGUAUGUGUGUUUGCCAAGUGCUACUUGGCCAAAACAGUGUUAAAUAAAAUUGUAAGAAAUGCU